AUUUUAGACCUGACAACAAUAUUAAUUGCAGCUUGUUCUGCUAUUGCAGCAGUUAUUUUCAUUAUUGGAGUAGCUGUUUACUGUGUCAGAAAAAAAGUUGAAUAUUGAAUUGAAUAUACCAGGGACACAUUCUCCACCUCCCAACUAGCAGGGUGAAAGCAGGUUUUUUACAUGUAUGAUUUGGUAGCAGGAUCAUGCACAUUUAUUACACUUCAACUGUUACUUCGCUAUGUUGCGUAGAUAUUUUUGUUGUCAUUUGAGGCUUACAAACUAAUAUGGACUUUGGACUCUUCAUCAGUGAAGGAGCUCGUUAUAUACAGUACCCCCCUUUGCUAAAGGGUACCCCCUCCACUGAUGAGAAUAGAUACUACACUUGAUCUUGGCCAAAAGGCAGAGAAGCAAUAGAAAUCGGUACACCCAAAAGAUCCAACACCUAAGCACAUGACAAUGAAUGUGGUCUAUACUGUCCAUUGUAGUGAAGAGUGCUCAGAUAUAUACAUUGGGGAGACAAAACAACCAUUCAGUAAGAGAAUGGCCCAACAUAGGACGGCAAACUCCCCAGGACAAUACUCCGCAGUCGAUCCAUAUCUAAAGUAAAAGGGACACUCCUUAGAGGACAAAUUUUAGACCAAGAUGGUUUGAAAGAUAUAUGAAGGAGGGAGGCUAUUUAUGCCAAAGUGGAAAAACCAUCCCUGAACAGAGGAAGGGGCCUGAGACAAUGCUUGUCAUCAACAUACAAUGUCGCUUUAACAUCCUCACCCAGCUGUUUCAUAACAAUUCACGCUUCCAGUCAUGUACAUUGAAAAAUGAACACCUGAUCAACGUACCAUUGUGACUGGAUCACACUUUCACACAUCUGUGAGUUUCAGCCAACACCAUCUAAAUAAAGUUCAAUGGAAGCAUUGUGA